rnacentral:rRNA from 1 species
CUGCGGGAGGCAGCAGUAAGGAAUAUUGGUCAAUGGACGAAAGUCUGAACCAGCCAUGCCGCGUGAAGGAUUAAGGUCCUCUGGAUUGUAAACUUCUUUUAUAUGGGACGAAAAAAGGUCUUUCUAGAUCACUUGACGGUACCAUAUGAAUAAGCACCGGCUAACUCCGUGCCAGCAGCCGCGGUAAUACGGAGGGUGCAAGAGUUAUCCGGAUUCACUGGGUUUAAAGGGUGCGUAGGCGGGCAGGUAAGUCAGUGGUGAAAUCCUGGAGCUCAACUCCAGAACUGCCAUUGAUACUAUCUGUCUUGAGUAUUGUGGAGGUAAGCGGAAUAUGUCAUGUAGCGGUGAAAUGCUUAGAUAUGACAUAGAACACCCAUUGCGAAGGCAGCUUACUACGCAUAUAUUGACGCUGAGGCACGAAAGCGUGGGGAUCAAACAGGAUUAGAUACCCGUGUAGUC